rnacentral:rRNA from 1 species
UACGUAGGGUGCGAGCGUUAAUCGGAAUUACUGGGCGUAAAGUGUGCGCAGGCGGCCGCGCAAGUCGAGUGUGAAAGCCCCGGGCUUAACUUGGGAAUUGCGCUCGAAACUACGUGGCUGGAGUGUGGCAGAGGAAGGUGGAAUUCCAGGUGUAGCGGUGAAAUGCGUAGAGAUCUGGAGGAACACCGGUGGCGAAGGCGGGUCUCUGGGCAUUUCCUGACGCUGAGGCGCGAAAGCGUGGGGAGCAAACGGG